rnacentral:lncRNA from 10 species
GUGGAGCAACAGGCAGUUUUAAUGAAUGCCUGAAGGCAGACCUUCAGGCCAUUUCAGGCCGAGGCCUAAAAUGGCAUCAGCCCCAAAUGAGGACGGGCAGGGGUUUUACAGUCUCCCGUAAACAGGAAGUGUUUCAGUCUGUGUAUCUACUGCUACGUGAUACCCGGUAGGCCUCUCUCUGGGUCUUCAGAACAGCUCUCUCCCCGCUUCUGCUAUCUUGCUGACGCACGCUGAUGACGUAAGCCGCCUUGCGCCUUGGGACUGGGCCUGAGAAGGGAGGAGUUAUUCAGGCCUCCGCCAGCUUCUAGGCCCUGGGGAUGGUCUUUCACCUCCCUCUUUCUGAUCUCUUUUUCAUGCUCCUCCUUGCUCCAAAGAAAAGCCGGAUGGCAAAAGAGCCCAGAACCUAUUGGAACUGACAAAAUCAAGUCACGGCGCCUACAAAGAUGAGGGGCAGAUUCUGGCUGCCUUUUAAUUUCGUCCUUCACCUGAUAUCUGUGCCAGAGAAUGUUGUCUUUCAGGAACUUGGGGCGGCCCCUGUCCAGUUCAAACCAGCUGAGACCACCAACCCUCUGAAUGCACCUGCAUGGAUGUCGGAAAAGUGACACUUGCCAUCAGAGGGCCAAAACUCCACCCUCAGAUCAUGUUAACACUGCUAUUUUCUGACCAUGUGUCCUAAGAAGAGCCGUGAGCCCAGACUGCACUUGCUCAGAUCACCAGUUACCUCACUUCUCCCCACCCUCAAUCACCUUUCCCCACCUUAGACCAUCCUAAUUCUUUACUCCAUAAAUAUCCCUAAGCAUUAUCCUUGAGGAGGUAGAUUUGAGAGCUGUUCUCCCAUCUCCUGGCUGGGUUGCCCUAUAAAAAUCAUAAUAAAGGAAAUAAUGGAAGAGGAGACUUAUGUUACUGGGGACAUCUAACAUAAUUAUUUUCCUGAUUCAGUGGCAUGGUUCAGUCUUCCAGGAGUUCUGCUACAGAGAAGAGAGUAACCCCCAUCCAUCAUGGCCAAAGCACCCAGUCAGGCUCCGCUCUGGAUCCAGCCCGACAAAUGCAACCCUUGAAUAGGGUUUGUGCAAGCAAACUGGAUGACGACCGAAGAAACCCUGUCGCUUCUGAGAAGACACCCAAUCCAAGAAUAUACAGUCGAAUGUAAUUUGGAAUUUACGAGUCUUAUCACAUUCUCAUUCUGCUUGAGCAAUUCAAGAUAUAAGAAAAACAGACUGUCUACAUUUCUUCAGAGUUCCUCCAACUAUUGGCUUAAAAUUCCUGAAAUUAAAAUUAUAGUUCUUUGACAUCGCUUCUGUCUAAUCAUUGCUGAUACCUGGAAAACACCAAAUGGCUUACUUACACAGUGUCCCACUCUGAAAUUUCUCACAUAAAGGAUUGUCUUACACAGAAAUACUGACCAUUUUGACAAGGGAAUGGCCCUAGAAUUGGGCCAGAGCUAAAAAUAAGCAGAAUAAACAAUUUUGAUAUUCUUCUUCAAUGGUCAUAAAUCUAGUUAGCAUGUUAUCAUUUACAUAUUAUGAUUUUGUUCAUGAUAGUUGUAGUAGAAUGGCCUAAAGAAAUCAAGAUCUGUUUUAUCUUCUACAUUACUUUAGUUACUGUAAGACUGAUAACUCACAUUGUCGUUUACCAAGUAUUUCCAUUUGUUCCUUGGAAUAAUCCUGUGAAGUGGGUAUUUUUUAUCACUAGUUUCAUAUAAUGAAUAUAUUACUGUUAAUGUCAAUACAUUCUAUUUAUCCAGCUCACUUAUUCUAGUAUUCUCUCUGCAGUGAUUCUUUAAUCUCAUUGAGAAGCCCCCAUGCCCAAUACACGCCUCCUAUCUUCAUACACGCCUCCUAUCUUCAUUUCCCUCCUUCCCCAACUCACACCCUUGAAAACAUUCUUAUCUCUCUUGUUUCUUUUUCUGUUGUCCUUGACUGGCAAAUUUGGAGGCAUGGAUGUACCCAACUCUUUGCCAUUUGGGGCUACCCCCAACUAGCCAAAUACUGCUAGAGAAACUCUCCUGAAUGAUUUCACUCUAAGUUCUAUGAACUUCAAAUGGGCAUUUAAGGAUACCUGGCAGUCCUACUAUGUUUUCCUAAUAAAUUUCAUUUUCCUCUUUCAAAAUUGUUAUUUAUUCUCCCGUCUCCUCCAACCUCCCAUAUCCCCACCUCCACACUCACUCUCUGCUGCUGAUGACCUCACUUCAUACUUUAUUGAAAAAAAUAGAAGCCUGCAGAGGAGCAACACUUUCAUACUGCUCCCACUGUAUCUAAAAAUCUCUAAGUUUCUGUGCCUGUCUUAGUCAGCUUGGGCUGCCAUAACAAAAUACCAUAAAAUGAGUGGCUUAAACAACAGAAAUUUUUCAUCUCAUAUUUUGAAGACUCAAAAUGUUGGCAUCGUUGGUACCUGGUGAGGGCUCUCUUCCUGGCUUGCAGACAGCUGCCUGCUGGCUGGGUCCUCACAUUGUCUUUUCUUGGUGCAUGCAUGAGGGAGAGAGUGCUAGUGUCUCUUCCUCUUCUUAUAAAGACACCAGCCCUAUCAAAUUAAGGGGUAGCUCUAUGACCUCAUUUAAAUAGAAUUAUCUCCCUAAAGACCUUAUCUUCUAAUAUAGUCACAUUUGAGACUGUGGCUUCAACAUGAAUUUUGGGGAGACAGAAUUCAGUCCUUCAGAGUGCCUGUGUUUUUCAUCUUACCAUAUGUUACAACAGAAAAAAAUGUCCCUGCUCUCAUCAAAAAUCAGUAACCCCCAGUAUGUUCUGGCUCCUGCCCGUCUCACUUUCUUAACAUUACUGACCCCCUCAUCUCUUCCUUCUCUUACAUAACUAGGGUUAUCCUUCUCACAAGCACACAAACACGCUCCUCCCUUGACUCCAUAAUCCCUCUCCAUCUCCCAACUCAUUUUUCUACCCCCUGUAAGCACCACUUCUCUAACAAAUUAUCUAAAAUUACUGCUUCCCCUUCCUCAACAAUCUAUUCCCUCAUCAGAAGACUUAAAACUGGCUAAUGUAGCUUCUGGGACUCAGAAAAUGAAAGCCCAAAAUAUGACACUUCAGACUUCAAACUGAGAGCACAUGGAGAGCAGCAAAUGCAGAGAAGGACUUUCCCCAAAGGUCCCUCCCUACCUAAACACAGGAUUCUCCUAAGAUACUCAAUCAUUGUCAAUCGCUUCCCCAGGGUAUCUCAAUGACUGGGAGAAGACUGAAGCCUAUCCCAGGAAAAGAAGACUAGAAUUGAUGACACACCAGGAGUCCAGAUGGGCUUUGUCUCAGACUACCAUCUGUUCUUCAGGCCCAUUCAUCUUCCCUAAAACUCAUUUACUCCUCCUCUAAAUUGUCUGCAUCCCACCCUUCCCCCUCCCUGUGAAGAAGGGUAUAUAAGCUUCUAAAUCCCAUUGGGUCAUUGGACACUCACCUUCCUGGAAUGCACGCAUACACAUAAUAUAUGUGUUAGCCUUUUCUCUCGUUAAGUGAUCUGUUAGUUUAUUUCUCAGACUCAAAUAUCAGACAUGCAGAGUGGAAAGAAAGGGCUCUCUCACCCAACAUGGCUCAUCUCAAGCUCAUCAAAAGCCCCCAUGUUCCAAAUUCAAUGGACGCCUCACUUGUCUUUUUUUUUUUUUUUUUUUUUUUUGAGACAGAAUCCUGCUCUGUCACCCAGGCUGGAGUGCAGUGGCAUGAUAUCGGCUCACUGCAACCUCCACCUCCCAGGUUUAUGCGAUUCUCCUGCCUCAGCCUCCCGAGUAACUGGGAUUACAGGUGCGCCACCGUGCUCAGCUAAUUUUUUUAUUUUUAGUAGAGACAGGGUUUCACCAUGUUGCCCAGGCUGGUCUUGAACUCCUGACCUCAAGUGAUCCACCGGCCUCAGCCUCCCAAAGGGCUGGGAUUACAGAGGUGAGCCACUGUACUGGGCCGCACUUAUCUUACUUGAUCUUUCAAGAACACCUGACCCAGUCAACUGCUCCUCUUCCCUGAAAACCACAUCACACUCUCCUGGUUUUCUUUCUGCAUCCCUGGCUGCUCCCUCUGCCUCUCCUUUGCUGGCUUCUGCUUCUCUUUCAAGCCUCUAAAUGUGGGAAUACCCUAGAACUUGCUCCUAGAUCCCCUUUUCUUCUCCACCUAUCUCCAGAGCUAAGUGAGCUCAUUCUACUCUCUGGCUUUGAGUCCUAUCUCUCUGGCGAUGACACCCAGAUUGAUAUGUGCAGUUCUGACCUCUCCCUUGAGCUCCAGACUCAUUUAUAUGGUCGAAAUGCCCAUCUGACAUUUCCAAUUGGACGUCUAAUAGUCUUGUCAAAUGUAGCAUAUCCAAAACAUAACCUUUGACUUCCCUCUUUUCCAGUCUUCCCCAUCUCUAUGGAUGGUAAUGAACUGCUCAAGCCAAACAUUUAUCAUUCGGAUUCCUGUCCUUCUCUUCUCUCCUAUACCCGGGCUUUUGACGAUUCAGCCGUAAAUCCAUCUACUUCUCUUUAUCGGUACUUCUAUUGCCUCAUUCAAGGCACAUCAGCUCUUGUCUGGAUGGAAGCCAUGGCCCCAUAAGUAGUCUUUCUGCUUCAAUUGCCUGACUGCCACACAUUCUCUAUGCAGCUAUCAGAGUACUCUUUUAAAAACUUAAAUCAUACUUGUCAUACAUGACAUAUUGUCAUGCCCUUGCUCAGAACCCUUCUGAGGCUUCACUUAUUAUUAGAAUAAAACUCAUCCUCACCAAGGCUUGCAUCCUACAACAUAACCUGACUUAGUAGGUCUAUUUCCUCCUUUGCUCUCUGUAUUGGUCCAUUUACAUUGCUGUAAAUAAAUGCCUGAGACUGGGUAGUUCAUCAGGAAAAGAGGUUUAUUUGGCUCACAGUUCUGCAGGCUGUACACAAAGCAUCGUGCCAGCAUCUGCUUCUGGUGAGGGAUUCAGGAAGCUUAUAAUCAUGGCGGGAUGUAAAGGAGAGCCAGCACAUCACAUGGAUAGAGAGAGAGAGAGAGGAGACAGUGCCAGGCUUUUUGAAACAACCAGAUCUUGUGUGAACUCAGAGAAUAAGAACUCACUCAUUACUGCCGAGACAUUCAUGAGGGAUCUGCCCCCAUGACCCAAACACCUCUCACUAGGCCCACUUCUAACACUGAAGCUCACAUUUCAACAUGAGAUUUGGAGGGGACAACCAUCCAAACCCUAUCACCCUCCAUGAUCCAUUCUUUCUGCUUCUCAAAUAUGCCAUGUUUAGGGCUGCUGUUCCUCUGCCUUGAGCGUUCCUGUUAGUGCUUCAGGUCUUAACUCGAAUGUCAACCCCUCAGAGUGACUUUUGCUACUCCCUAUGGAAUGCUCACCUCCCACCCCCGCCAUCAGCAUUUAUUUCGACUUCUUUCCUACCACUUAGCACAGUGAGCUCCAGGAGGGCAGGCUUUUGUCUGGCAUGCUCCCUGCACAUUCUCCAGCACCAAGCACAGACCUGGCACACAAUGAAUGUUCACUGAAAGAAUGAAGUUGAUCUCAGACUCUCCACCCAGCUCCAGGCUGCCAAAAUAAGCCCCUAAUUGCCUUCCCUGCUUCUCCUUUUGUUCCUGCCCCAUCUGUCUCCUAGGGAGAAUUGUCUCAGCUAGACCAGUCCUGGGCUCUUCACACAUCAGAGUUAGAGAGUUGACAGGGAAUUAAUAGAAGAUAGAACCUGAAAGGCUUAGGAGGGGUAAGACUUGGAGAAAUCUGUUGUCAGUCAAAAAUAAUAAAGUACAGAGGUGUAUGUGAGGAGGUAGGGGAGGGAGUACAGGAAGGGGAAAGAAAUCUAUAUAGUCCAGGUGUAAGUGAGAAAGUUCUUUCAGCAUUUGUCAAACUUGAGUUUGGGAGAGGGUGUGGGAAAUAAAUAACUGAGAAGAGUAAAUGGGAUUGCAGCAUAGAUGAGGAUUCUGAAUUAGGGCCACUCUGUCACCCAGGCUGGAGUACAGUAGUGCGAUCAAAGCUCACUGCAGCCUGGAGCUCCUGGUCUCAAGCAAUCCUCCCACCUCAGCCUUCCAAGUAGCUGGGACUACAGGCAUGUGCCACCAAACUCAGCUAAUUUUUUUUUGCAUUUUUUUGCAG